rnacentral:rRNA from 1 species
AGAGUUUGAUUCUGGCUCAGGACGAACGCUGGCGGCGUGCUUAACACAUGCAAGUCUACGAGAACGAGGUAGCAAUAUCUUUAGUAAAGUGGCGUACGGGUGCGUAACACGUAAGUUGACAUCUACCUUUGGGUUCGGAAUAACUUCGGGAAAUCGGAGCUAAUACCGGGUAAUGCAGCGGCACCGCAUGGUGAUGUUGUUAAAGUUUUCGUAACGCCUAAAGAUGAGCUUGCGUCUGAUUAGCUAGUUGGUGAGGUAACGGCUCACCAAGGCGACGAUCGGUAGCUGGUCUGAGAGGAUGAUCAGCCAGACUGGGACUGAGAACGGCCCAGACUCCUACGGGAGGCAGCAGUCGGGAAUUUUGCCCAAUGGACGAAAGUCUGAGGCAGCAACUCCGCGUGAGGGCAUGAAGGCUCUCGGGUCGUAAACCUCUUUUCUCAGGGAAGAUCCAAGACGGUACCUGAGGAAUAAGCCACGGCUAACUACGUGCCAGCAUGCCGCGGUAAUACGUUGGUUGGCAAGCGUUGUCCGGUUUUCUGGGCGUAAGUGCGCGCAGGCGGCCGGUCAGUCCGUGUG